GACGAACGCUGGCGGCGUGCUUAACACAUGCAAGUCGAACGGAAAGGCCCUGCUUUUGUGGGGUGCUCGAGUGGCGAACGGGUGAGUAACACGUGAGUAACCUGCCCUUGACUUUGGGAUAACUUCAGGAAACUGGGGCUAAUACCGGAUAGGAGCUCCUGCUGCAUGGUGGGGGUUGGAAAGUUUCGGCGGUUGGGGAUGGACUCGCGGCUUAUCAGCUUGUUGGUGGGGUAGUGGCUUACCAAGGCUUUGACGGGUAGCCGGCCUGAGAGGGUGACCGGCCACAUUGGGACUGAGAUACGGCCCAGACGCCUACGGGAGGCAGCAGUGGGGAAUAUUGCACAAUGGGCGGAAGCCUGAUGCAGCAACGCCGCGUGCGGGAUGACGGCCUUCGGGUUGUAAACCGCUUUCGCAUGUGACGAAGCGUGAGUGACGGUAAUGGGUAAAGAAGCACCGGCUAACUACGUG
rnacentral:rRNA from 1 species